rnacentral:rRNA from 1 species
UUCCCUAGUACGGCGAGUGAAGCGGGAACAGCUCAAGGCAGGAAUCCCUUCGGGGAGUUGUGGCCUAUGGAAGGUAGUUGCUGUAAGCCGGUUUUCGGAUCAAGUCCCUUGGAAUAGGGCGCCAGAGAGGGUGAUAGCCCCGUCCACUGCAGGCUUGAACGGUUUCGUUAUGCACUAUGCUCCGCGAGUCGGGUUGUUUGGGAAUGCAGCCCUAAUCGGGAGGUACGCACCUUCCAAGGCUAAAUAUUCAGGCGAGAGACCGAUAGCGAACAAGUACCGUGAGGGAAAGUUGAAAAGUACUCUGGAGAGAGAGUGAAAAGCGCGUGAAACCAUUAGUAGGGAACCGCUUGCACGGUGCACCGAGUGUUGUUGGCUUCGGCCGGCUUCACCGCUCAACACCAGUUUGGCUUGCUGGAAAAAGCAGGCGGCAAGGUAGCAACGCUUCGGGGUUGUGUUAUAGGCCGUUUGCAUAUACAGUGGGCUGGACUGAGGACGGCGACAUCUUCCUUCGGGGGGCGCUUGUGCGGGCUGGCCACCGGGCUGGACUGUGCGGACAGCAUGCUGACCGUACGGGACCACGUCUGGUGCCCCAGUCUGUAUCUUGUGUAUGUCAAGGGUAGUUGAGAAGCGCUGAACAAACGACCCGUCUUGAAACACGGACCAAGGAGUCUAACUUGUGCGCGAGUCAAUGGGUUGCUAAACUCACUGGCGCAAUGAAAGUGAGAACUUUUGUUCCUGGUACCAACCGUUUAACCACGGUGCAGUAUCCACCGGCUAAUUGCUCUUUAGGGUGAUUGGACUGAGUGCGAGCGCAUAGGCUAGGACCCGAAAGAUGGUGAACUAUACUUGGGUAGGGCGAAGCCAGGGGAAACUCUGGUGGAGGCUCGCAGCGGUUCUGACGUGCAAAUCGAUCGUAGAACCUGAGUAUAGGGCGAAAGACUAA